UGUGUCUCUUCAUCAAAUCAUCAAAAAUUCAAUAAUUUAAUACAAAAAUAAAAACAUUUUUCAAUUAAAAUAAAUACUUAGACUCAAGGGAAAGAGUGGACACUCCGUUGAAGAAGUGCAUGUUUUCCCCUUUUCUUUGCUAAAAGGCUUGAAAGUGUCAGCUGCCCUAAGGUCUUGUAGGCAAUUUAUGUACUUCUUUGUUGUCUUAAUUUAAAUAUUUAUCAUAAUUAGCCAAUACUUAUUAAUUGCAAUGUAUUUUUCAUAAUGGUAACGGAGAGUGCAGUGUAUUGCAAUAAUAUGUCAACUUCGAGUAAAAAGUCUCCAGGUUUAUCGCCCAUGAAAAUGUUUAAUUUUCCAAAAGACAUCAAUCGAAGGAAUUUGUGGAUAUAUGCCAUCAAAAGUGCGAAUUGAACUCCAGCCAAAGGGUCAAGAGUUUGUCAAUUAAAGGCUAUGCUCCUUUUGUUGAUGUGCAAGAAAAUAAGAAUAGCAAGGGACAAAGUGAUCCUGGAAAAAUGAGUAAAUUGUCGCAUGUAUCUUAAAUUCAUAGAUUGUGUCUAAAUCUAAAAAAUGAUUUUAUUUAAUAUUAUAAUUAUAUCUAUAUAAUAUUUUUGAAAGUAAAUGUUCGUUUUGUUUAUUUAUGUCUUCAGGAUGAUAUAUUAUUUUUAGUUCACUAAGAUUUUUUCUGUUAGACACUAAAAAAAAUAUUUGCAGUCUAUGUGAAUCUAUUGGUUUAUAAAGACUGUAUCAUGU
rnacentral:misc_RNA from 1 species